UCUCUCUCUUCUUUUAUUUUUUUUAUUUGUUUUUUGUUCUGUAGACCAUAAAAGCAUCUGACACAAACAAACAAACAAAAAAACUGCUACAAAUGCAGUAUUUGUUACAUUGAAAGAAACUUUACAAACCUAACAUGAAAACAAACCCAAAAAUAAUAGUAAAUCAUAUUGUAUGCUCUUUUCCAUUGCUGCCUUUACAUGAUUUGAAACCUGAUGAAGAGCUUAUUUGCCUUAAAGCUUGUUUUUUACCAACUGUAUCAGUUAAUCUAAUAAAAGAUAAUGACUAUACAAACUCUCUCCUCACAUACAUUUCACAGAGUCUAGAUAGAGGGGAAAAAAUUAAGUUUGAAAACCCUACUUGUGCAGUCCCAUUGAAAGGACAACGAAUUUGUCUGGAUGCAAUAUGUAAUAAAUAACCCUAUGGGAAAAAAACAAAACAACAAAAAAAAAAAAGCAGAAACUCUCACAGCAUGUGCUUUACAAACUUGAAUAACUUGGACAUUUAAAUUGUUUUGUUUGGUCUCUUGCAUAUGGCAAAAUGGCCCAAUUGAUGCACUAAGUACCAUCAGUAUUUCAUUUUUAAGAAUUUAUCUGUUCUCCCUCCCCCUCCCCAUGAUGAUGGAGGAUAGGAUCAGUUUAGUAUCUGGAUCGCUGGCAGUGCACUUGAGUGCUGGUGAGUCAGCUAGAUGGGAAUGCUCCCUCUGAGUCAGUGCGGAGCCAGCCUCCCAGCAUGGUGCUUGGGGACACUCUGGUGCUUGAGCUGCAAUCAUUUAGAUCAGAGAAAACCAAAGCCCUGAACAGUUGCGGUCACUUGAGAUCAGAUGGAAAAAAACAGAGAGAUUAUGCCAGUAUCCUCAGCAAACUCAAAAGAAGACAAGAAUUGCACUAGGCCAGAUCUGCUCGCACUCUGCCAGGAAUCUUGGGGAGUGUGGCUGCACGUGAGACUUCCUGGAAUACCACAAAGUGAGCGGGAAAUUGGGACCCACUUCUAACAUGGAAAAAAAUUACAGAGGAAAACAGAAAGCUAUUUUUGGCACGCUGAAUUCAGUAGAUGAAAAGCUGAGAUAAUCCUAUAGGAACUGUUUUGGAUCUUGAACAAGUCUAAUGGGGAGUGAAUAGGCAGCUUCAAGGGUCCUGACAAAGUGUGCAAGUGACAAAUGAAAGGAAGAUGUUCAUUUAUACACACUAUGUGUGAUCUUCUCUAGGGCUGGGGUAUGAAUUUUGCUCUUGACCACAGUCUUCCUUCUACUUUUGUUAAGCUGUUCCAAAAAGCAGGCCCUUGGAGAAGUGUUCAGCACUAUAGGAACUCUGGAUUUACGUUGGAUGCUUUUUAAAAGAGUGGCAGAGGACAUCACGUCAGUGAGAUUUCACCAAUUCAAGGAAAAACCUUGAAAACUCUAAUCAAGUCUGUCCCAUAUUCAUGCAACAGUAAAGACAAAAGGAUGUAAGUGCAUCAAAGUCUGUUUUUGAGUCUGACUGUAAAGAAUAAGUUAUUAUUCUUUGGAUUAUUUUUUUUUACAUUUCAAUGUUAUUUGUUGGCUCACAGAUAUUUCUUUUUCUUUCUCACACCUCAUACUUUGGCAUGACAACCUCUAAGCAAAUGCUACCAAGAUUACAUUAGGAAACCUCACUCAACAAUGCAGGUACAGUAAAAGAAAAAUGAAAAUGAAAACAAAAAAAAACUCAGGAGAGAAAAAAAAAAAAAAUACCAACAAACAUGACAGAACCGCUUUGUUUCCCAAAUUAUCAUCAGGCUGUCCAGACAUGGAGAAGCAGUGAACAGCUAUCACAGUGUGGAUAAUAUAGAGAAGUGCUUCCAGGAACAAUGGGAGCAGCCUCCCGUAUGCAGAAUGGGAGCUGUCAGUGGGAAUUAGUGUCCCACAGAUCCUCCCCAUCUCCCAGUGACGGAUCCAGAAGGUGUGCUUGUGGGGUCAGGUGGGAAGGCAAAGCACUGAAGGUUGCAACACAUCCAGUGUAUAGAGAGUAUUAUCAAAUUACUUUGUCAUCUUUAACAGCCCUGCAGGGACUGCAGUGGAAUCUCAGUCCCUUUUUUAAUGAAUGGAAGUUUUACCCCGAAUAGUAAGAGCAAGAUAAAUACUUUUAGCUGUUUUACUUAGCUCAUUUUUUCUUUUCCUCCCUUUUUUUUUUUUCCUUUAAUUUUAAAUAAUUACUGUUUUAAAGCCAGCCAAGGCACAUAGGGUUAAAGAUGUAAAAUCUCAGCAUGGUGCAAUAAAGCUGAUACUGAAAUAGUGUAUCCCUACUGUAGGAGGAAUCUGCAAUCAGGACUUCCAAGCACAUGCAAAAAAUAACUCUUGGAUCAGUCUUCUUGUCUUCCAGUAGACUUGGCAAGAAAGGCAAGCCAUAUGUGAAGCCAGCCAUAUAUCAGUUAUGUGGUCUUAGAUAUUUGCAAUAAAACAAAGGACUUUGCUGUCAGCCCUUCCUGAUUUCAUGAAGCCUUUACAGCUCACAGUAAUGUCUCUUUAUCAAAACCCACAAAGUUAUCCUUAGACAUGUGCAUUUCUUAGGGAAAAUAUUCUCUGAAAUAGCUAUUUAUGAUUAAAUCCAUCAGGGAAAGGGGAAGACAUGAAAGGACUUAAUACAGCCAGUUUCAGCCAUGCUGAAUGCAUCUAGGAAUAACAAACGAGUGUAAAAACAAUUAAAAAUAAAAUAAGUAAGACUGGGGGAAGGGAAGAGGGUAGAAGAAUUAAAAUAGACAUACACAAAACAAUAUGAUCAAGAAUGAAAUCUUUGUGACAGUGAUGUGGAUGCCCUGGUAAAUUAAGUGGAACUAAAACUUCACACCAGAAUUGCUCCUGGCCAUUUAUUUAGGCAGUAUUAGCCAGCAGUUUCAUGCAGGGAUCGUGCUAGGAGUGGGUUCAAGGAAAAAAUUUUGUAAGGGUGUUUUUCCCAGCCAAUGUGAGGUGGAUGGUCUGCACACAGGGAACAAGAAAGAUGGCUGAGAAUAGUUCAGAGUGAGCCACGAAGAGAGGUCAGGAGCUAAUGAAAAGUUAGCCCCCGGACCUGCAAAACCACGGGGAUGUGAACAGCCCUAUGCGUGUGAUUGCUCAGUUAUGUGAAGUUCACUGCGUGCUCAAGCUCAGGGUAAGAACUUGUUUGAUUUGAUGUAGUAGUGAGAGGAGUCAGGGGCGGGAUUUGAAAAGUGACGUGAUUGCAGCAGUGCUUUUCUGAAACAACUUUACAGAAAAAAUUCGGAGAGUGCAUUCCUUACAAAACUGAUAAGGUGUUACUAUAGAACUGCAGUAAUGACUUUGGCAAACAGUUUGUGCAAAUUUCUAGACUAUAAUUGCAAAUGUGGAUUUUUAAUCAAAUAUUAUUAACUAUUACAUAAUGAAAAGAAAUAAAAUCCCAAUAGACAGAUUAGCAUUUUUACUCUCUUUAAAAAACCUGUUUUACAAUGUUCCUUUGAGCCAUAUCCUAAGUUUUAAAAGCAUUUGGGUUUUCUAGAUCAGAUUCUGCAAGGCUCUUGGGCUAACUUUAAGUAUGUGAUUUGUCUAAUUGGAAUUAGCAGCUUGCAACCACGUAUGUUCCUAAGGAUCUUGCCAUGUCAUGCAGGUUUUCUUUUUUUUUUUUUUUCCUACCUUAAAACCCAAUCAAACAAACAAAAACCAUAGUUAAAAUCGACUCCUGUCCCACCUCUUUUUGUUUAUUUAUUUAUUUUAAAUUCCCCUAUGUUAAAUCUUCACAAAAUCUUUCUUAUCACCUCGUGGAUUAAUUGCCAGUGAAAUAUUUGCUUUGGAAUGAGUAUCUCUUACUAAUGUGUCCUGCUCAGUGUUUAUGACUUAUAACUAUUCAGGGCAACAUACUAUAUUAUACAAAUAUUUGAAGCAAUCACAAGGGGGGCAAUGCUUUAACAUAAUCCUUCACUCACAAGUUGCCCUUGCAGCCCUUUUCAGUUACUUUUCAUUAUUUCACCACAGGGGAACAGUCUCAAUAAAUUAUUGUAUUAACAAUUACAUUAAAAAUGAGCCCUGGAACCCCUUUCUCUACCCCAGUAAAUGUCAUUUAACAGUUUUUGGUGUGGAAAUAUGCAACAGAUAAGUCAAGUGGGUUUUUCUUCUACUUCUUACAGAGGUAUGAAAAUAUCAGUAGAUGCUCAGAUCUCCGCUACUCAAAACAUUACGGGUCAGAUCCGAGCAGAGUGGAGAGGUCAGUGCUCCAUCAUCACAGCUUUAUAUCAUUAUGGGCUUUAGGGCAUAAUAGCCUGCAAGGAUGCUUGGUUAAAAGAUGGGAAGGAAACCUGAAAAAGGUUAAUUACGGCACGCACAGCACUUGACAGUUCCUUUUCAAUCUGAUUCAGCUCAGCUGUGAAUGCCACUGUGUCUUCUGCACAAAGAUCCCGCUCGCUGCUAUGCCACUUGCUGUCACCCCAAGGCAGUUGCGUGGUUUGCCCACAAGGACAGAUCCCAACCCCAAACACUGCAUGUUUUCCAAAGGGUGCACCUGCUUUGCUGUGGAUUUGGUGCUUAGAGCUUGCUGUCUGAAGCCUUAACACCCAGAAACUUGUUUUGACAGUUUGGGUUAUGUUCGUUAGGGAAUCCAAGGAGGGAAUAUCUCUGGAGGGGGCAGGGAGGAGAGGGAAAGAAGCACAAACAAAACAAAAACUUAAGCCUGUGACUAAUUGGCUGAAAGGAUGUGAGCAAUUCGGCUCCACUUAAUUGAAUGUGGGCUCAAAUUAAAAAGAAAGAGUAAUUGCCUUCAAAACUUUGCAUUGUAGAUUGCUGGUGAAAGGCUUAGAAGGUGAAAGCCUUAAAGCACAUGUGUCAGUGAUGUUGUUGACAGGAACCCAAAUAUCCUGUUAUAUGCAUCUGCAUUCAGAGGACUUCAUUCUAGAAGGGAUUAGCCUACAUUAUAUUGAUGGUUUUAUUUACAAGAUGAAUUUUCAUUAAAAAGGUACCCUGAUUUUUGCUAGAAAUUUCAGAAUGUGACCAUGCCUUCUAACUGCUAGCUGCCUUCUAAACAUUUCCUGAUCAGAGAACCUGAAAAUAGCUCUUCAGAUUUCAAAGUAAAUAUAAAGAAUCUCUGCAUUUGGUUACAAAUCCGCAUAUUCUUAUUCAUUUGUUCCUUCAAAUUUAGGGAGAACUUCAUCUGAGCAAAGGGAUAGUUGUGUUAAACACAAAUAACCAGGGAGUAGGGAGUCAAGGAAUUUACCUUGAAAGUACAAAUCUGAGUUAUGAGACCUUUUUAAAUAAAAAUCAGGAAUUAACUCAUGCGGUCUGUACAUUGCCAUUUAUUCUUUACAUCAAAGCUGCAUCCACAAGUUCUAGCCCCAUUGUGCUAUGCACAAAGACACAGAACAAAAGAAAUGUCCUACCUCUCAAAAUAAUUCUCUGCAAGAGUAACAAAGACCCUUUGUUUGCUAUUUAAGCAAGAUUGGUGGACAUCAUCUUUAAGAAGAAGCUCUGAGAAUCAACCUUUUCUGUCCUUUUCCAAAUAUGCAUAUGCACAUUUUUUGUGAGUCUGCUACAGUAAAAAGGCUCCUAAAGGAAAGAAUGGAGCAGAGCAAAAGGAAAAUAUUACUUUAUAUUAAUAACAAAUGGAGUGCACAACGCAUUCCACAUACAAAGGUUACCCAUCUACAGAGAUGGAAGCCAAGGGCAUUUUAAAACUUAAAGAUCCUUUAAAUAAACAUAUUGGUUUAAGUAGGAAGCAAAUAUUCUUAGCUCAGCAGGUAGUUGGUAUCUAAAUCACAUUCAGACUUCACAUAAAUACACAUGUCAAAGCAUUUAUCUAGUAAUAAAAAAAACAACUCUUAAGGAAUGCAGUUCAGAUAGGGAAGUGUCAGGUAUUUUGCACAUUUCCUAUUUCCAGCUCAUUAGUUUCAGCUUUUGACAGGGGUGGAGCUGAAAGAGGGGGUCAGAAAUCCUGUGGAGGUUUUUCUCUCCUCCCAAUUUCACAUGAAUAAACAGAGGGAGGGAGUCCCCUGCCUGUCUGCCAGGCUCUUAUCUAUCAUAUUUAGAUGCUAGAUGCUGUCAGAUACUAGAUAGCAAUGCCUGUAGGUAUUGCCAGUUACUGGGAAAUUAAACCUGGAACAGAAGAUACUCCUUUUCAUUCCCAAACUGACCUUAUGAUAUGAGUAGGUUUCAACAUCCUUCAAAAAACACUGAUGUCCAGACAAAGGUGGCAUUAUUAUAUUUUCAUCAUUUGCUACUCACACCUGAUUAUUAUUAUUUUUUUUCUCAUGUUGUCCACAAGUCUCUUACCAGCACCUUAUCUGUACCUUUUCUUUUGCCUACAUUAAUGUGUUCCUCUCAAAUCCAGGUUCUCUCACUCCGGAAGUUGUGGGUUUAGUACUGCACUGCUGGUUUUAAUUUGAACUUUCCUGAGUAUUAGGGAUUAUCAGAAAUACCUUGUUUUCAAAAAUAAAAUAGAAAGUGAAAAAAUAUACCUAGUUUUCCUUUAUUUCCCUAAAAAACAUUUCAGAAAAUGACAAUGCUUCCCUAGAGAGCGUUACUGUAAGAGGGACUUCGAUCUAAUUCGUGGAAUAUGUGCCUAUGAUCACUAACAGUCAAGUUAGCAAUUACCACCCUUGUGCAAGAAGAUACACACUGUAAGCCAAGAUAAGAUAUCCACACAAGCACACUGUCCCUACUAGCAGUAGAACAAACCUAGCCAGCACAAACUGCAAUAUAAAUGCUUUCAUGCAUUCAGCUGCUCUUUCAUCUGAAGGCUGAUAAAUUCCAGCUGAUGGAAGUUAACUUCUUAAGACACUGUUGGAGCAUCCCUUGGUUUGUUGUUGGUAGGAUAUAAAUUAAUAUUGAUAUUUAAGGUACUUUGUUUACAGAGAGGAAAGCCAGCAAUAUGGCCUAACUUUUGACUGAGUGAGGUCUCAGAGGUUACUUUGCACUGGCAUGAUCAUCCACACCUUUGGAUUACUUUUUGAAAAAUCUUUGUGGAUCAUGAGAUGCUUCUACUGUGAUAUGAAAAGAAAAUGACUGGCUUUGAUUUGAUGGUCAGGUGGAAUUUCAGUUUGGUUCCUAUCACCUCUCAGACUUGCUUAGAUGAUUCUGUUCCUAAAGUCUGUAUGGGUGUCAGGAAGAACAAUUAUGACUUGUUUUAAAGCUGUUCUGUUAGGGUCACAGGUGAAGUAAAAGACCCAUAACAUUUACCAAUAAUCAUUAGGACAGAGCAUAAGUAUUCACUUUGAAUUAACUUGUAAGCUAGAAGCAUUAACAAAGGCUGCAGGAAGUAUAAUUCUGGGAGGCUCAAAUCUGAAAUUUAUUUUGUCGCACUGUCAUAAAGGGGGUGCAACUUCUUUAAUGGAUUUGAGCCGUUACUAAAUGCAGUAGAGAACCAUAGGAUUCAGUGGACUUCACACAGCCAGGAGUUCAGAGUCUGCCCACUGUGGCUGGUGAGCUAUUUCAGAUGUCUGUUUCUAGCAGAAAUAGACCCGAAAGUGGGUUUACUCUCAAAGAAGAAAAAAGUAGGGUGAUGUAAAUUUCUCUUAAUUUGAGACUACAUUAUGGCCUGCUGCUGCUCAGUCAAAGAAGAUCAAAAAAAAAAAAAAAAAAAAAAAAAAAAUAGUUGCCUUUCUUGCUCUGAGUUUCUAACUGUCCUGCUCAGAUUGUGAAGCUAACAGUAGCUAAUAAAGGAGUAAGUGAACCAAACAUGAAUAACAUUUAGUUUAAAACCUAUCAGAUGGCAGAUGGGCCAUGUCUCAUAGGUGUCGUGGAGACAGUUCAGUGGAGAAGAUGCUGACCUAAUGGUGGCAAGAAUAUACUCCUGCCACUGCUGAUCAUUUUUCAUGGAUUCCCAGUUGGUUGUUUGAUAUGCAACUCCAAAAUUUAUUGUUUUUCUCCUUUUUCUUUCCUUUCUGUCAGCCAAUAAAGAGAAACCAUAACAUCAGCAGUGUUUGAAAACAUAUUUAUGUUUGUUUCCCCUAUAAAAAGAGAUAAUAAUGUUAUGUUCCAAUAAUAUUAAGUUGCAAUGUUAUUUGCAAGAUUGCAGAGCUUUUAAUUUUCUGAUUAUUUCCACAGUGGGAGUUUCAGCUCAAUUUCUACUAAGACAUUUCUAUCUGUUUUGGUUAUUUUUUUAUUACAGCUAGAAGCAACAAUAAUUGCCUUUAGUGUAUGAAAACAUGACUGAGGAGACAAUUGUCGUCCCUAAAGACUAAAAUCAUCAGCAUACAUUUUUGAUGUAAAAUUUUUGUAAAUUAAUUGCAAGGUCCUAUAAAUAUUAUAUUUACUAAAAUUGUGUUGUCUGCUGUCUUCAAAGAAAUAAUCUUUUCCUUUUUCUUUCUCUCUCUUUUUUUUUUUAACUAUGUUUCGUAUGCAGUACAUUUCCUGAGGCAGAAAACAAAAACAUGGAACAAAAUAUUAGCCUUUUACUUUUGUAGUUUUACAUUCUACUAUUUCUCUUUUUGAACUCUGGGGUUUCUUUUUAAUAUAGAGAAAAAGAUCAGUAACACUGUCAUUAAUCAUGACCAAUUUUCAGUUUCUCACUGUUCAGUUGAUCAAAAAAUUGAAUAUCCAUCCCAAAUAAUAAGGCAGUAUUCUUGCAUUUGAUUUUCUCACAGACCAGGAAAAUAAAUUCAAAAUGUCAAACGUUUUGUAGAAUAUCUUUUUCUGCAAUUCCUAUUCAGAAACAAUAAAAUGAAAUCUUUUAGAUGUCUCAUAAUGAAAGUGCUCCCACCCAGUUACAUCCUGGGAGAAAUUAUCUAUCACGACUUAUAAAGGAAAUAUCGUCUGCAACCACCCAUAGAGGAACCUGACAGACUGUCAAAGACCUGGAACUACAGUUGUCAAAAGUCCCUGAGAUAACUUGGGUAGAUGCCAAGAUUAAUAAGCCUAAUUAAAAUUACACUACUUUAUUUCCAUUUUUUCCUUGUAGAAUAAUAAACCACAGUCAGCCUAGAUUUUGUUUUUUAAAGAUCUAUUUUUUUACCUGGCUGUGUUAACAUCUCUCCAGUUGCAUUAUCUCACAGUCUGGUAUGUCCUGUGCAACCCAGAUGUAUAGUUGUUUCACAAGAUUUAUGAGUACAUGGCAAAGUUCUCAAGACAAACAGAUUAUGUCCUUUCCGAAUAGCUGUGUUUGACUGCAGGAGCUACAGAGUAUUUUGGAUAAAUGUGCUCAGCAGGCCUUUCUUUGAAGGAGACAGAUAGUGUAACAGCUAAUAUCAAGAACAGUGAUUAGCACCAAUAGAUUUUAGCAGAUUUACUCCAGUCAUAAUGGUAGCCCUUAAACUUGAGGAGGCAGUGCACUGGACUUACAUUAACUCUAGCAAAUUUGCUCCUAGAAAAGCAGUGGAAAACCUAGGGAAGAUUCUUACUAAUAAAGCACACUUUCAUAAGAAAAUCUGCUCUCCAAGGAAGAUCAGGGACAAGAUUAUACAGACAACCAGGACAAAAAUCAGUAGACAAGAAAAACUUCAGAAAUACUUAGUCUGUGGUUACUGUCUAAGAAUUAACUAUUUUUUUAUUUUUUAUUUUUUUGUUAAGACAGAUAUCAGGUCACUUUUUGAGACCAAUCACAGCUGCAGCUAUACCUGGAGUAGGACCUUGCUUUGGUUCUUCAUGAUUGCUAUAUCUAAAGUACAGCAGGAUGCAGCCAGAUAUGUCAAACUGCCCUUGUUUUCAACCAGGUAUUAGAUUCACAACUUCCUAAUGUAAAGAAAAAAAAAAAUUAUCUGUACUUUUGAAGACUGAAUUCAUCUCCAGGUAAUACAAAUGAGAAACGGUGCUCUUCCCCACAGUAAUAGGAUUGCAAUCAAGCUCUCAAUGUGAUUUACAAACUCUGUAGUGUUAACCAAUUACUUGCUGGUCAGCCAAUAACAAUGACUGAAUCAUCUUUUGCUUCAGAAAAGGAUCACUGCGCACAAGUUGGAGAAUCUCACAGCACUGCCUUCAAACCAUUCCUACUAAAUAAGACACUGCACUUCUCUGUCGAUAGAUACUAUAUGGUAUUUUAGCCCAAGAAACUUAUGUCAGGAUCUAUAAAAACAACUGGGAACAUGCAGAAUAAUUGAAUCUUAAAUGAUUGUGUAUAAUGUGUCUGCAUUUAUAUUUCAGCAUUUAAAUGCGUUUCAAUACUUUGGUGUGUGAAAGGGUUAAACAAUAACAGAUUUCCUGUGCUAAACAGCUUAAUGAAAAACAUUCAGGGUGCUUUUUUAGAACAACAGACUCAUACUGCAAAAUGAUAAUCUUUGGUAUGUCCUUUUUUUUUUUCUUUUUCACAAGUAACAAUAUAGGCGAGACAGACUUUGCUAUAAUUCUUCCUAAUUGCUCUAAUGCAUUUCAUUUUAUUUUAGUGUUUUCAGUUUAUAAAAACAGUUAGCAUCAGUUUGUUUCCAGUUUUAAUGGAGAUAAACUCCUUCUUUUCCCCCUGAAAAAAUUCACAAUAUGGUUGGAAAUGUCAGCAAUAAUUAGACAAAAUGCUUGUGAAACAUAAAAUAAAAACAAUACGUCUUUUUAUAAUGGAAUCAGUUUGUCUGAUUAUCUCAAACAAUGUACAUUUCCAACUGCCCAGGAGGGUCAUUAGAGCUUAUGAAAAUCAAAGUCUGCUUUUUCUGCUUCAGACAUCAUGGACAACAAUAUUGUCUCCAGGAUCAUUAUAAAUAUAUGUUAGACUUUCUUGAACUACAGUGAACCUGAAGCAUGAAAUGCAUUUAAAGAUAAAAACAUCAGGGGGAAAAAAAAAGAAAAAAUGAAAAACAAAACAAAAAAGCAAACAAAUAAAUCCACUUUGUGUUAUUAACUAAAUAAGUGUUACAUAGAAAUUAUAGUUGGAUACAUAACCUCGCUGAAUACAGUACUCAAGGGACCUUGGUUCUAUUCUGUCAUCAGUCACAGAUUUCCAGUAUAACCUCAGAAAAGUCAUUUCCUACCCUAUGCACAAUGAGGGCUAUUUGUCCCUUAAAGAGAUGGUUGUGACAGAGCUCCCUUCUGAGUUCCUGUCUAGGUGUGAAGUCUAAUUCAAGAAGUUUCUGUUAUUCCUUUGAGAUACACUCAGAGAAUAGACAAGAGUAUCACUUCUACCUUUUUUCCCAUUUGUAGAAAUGGGGCUAAUAUUCUCUUGCUCUCACUGGAGAGUUUAUGGAUACAAUCCAUUAGUGUGUGAGAGGCAUUCAGAUACCAUGAUGACAAGGACCAUUUAGCAAGUAAAUAUCUGGAUGGAGUAGGAGGAAUUCAGCUGCUGUUACCACAUUACAUUACAAAUAGUUUAGGACAAAAGACAAACGGGAAGUCUGAUAAGUUUAUCGUAUGAUCAGUUAUAGUCAUACAACAAUUCUGCACUCAAGGAACCUGGAAAGCUGUUUCAAAAAUGAAGUUUCCACCUGUUUAGUUUGUUUACCAAUAAGUGUGGCAGUAUGCCUAUUCUGCCCAGUGGUUUAAGCACUUUUCUCCUGCUCAUACAUGCUGGGUUUUCAGUCUUCAAUUGCAUCUUUCAGAUUCAGCAGCAGUGUCACACGGCAAGAUGGAAUUCUAGGGAUGCUGCUGCGUUGUUUUGGAUGGGAUCCUACUAUAUCAGCUGCCAAAGUGCCCAAGGAAAAACUGAAACUUACAGGAAAAUUAUAGCGACAUGAAGAAAUUUCAUUAAAAGUGACAUGUUCUAAACCUUUUAGAAAUACAAAAAUCUGUUGAAGAUCCCAAGAUGUGUGUAGAAAAUGUGGGUAAGAAAAGAAAAUGCAUUACUAAACUAAUCUAAAACCAAAGCAGGUAUUUCUCUGCUAUAGUAUUGCUACACAUAUGCUCUUGUUAGUACAAGCAAAUGCUUACCAAUAAUGAACAAUCUCUGUUGGUUGCAAUGCUCAAGCACAAAUUAAACAAUGCUAAAAACUAUUAUUAAAGCACAUGAAGGAAUUAAUACAUAAAAUCCUUCUGCUACUUCAAAUUCACAGCAAAGCGAUUCCUCUCAGCUAAGCCAUCAGUACAAUGUACAGAAGCCUAUUUUUAGGAAUGGUUAAGGGAACAUACUUUCCAUGGAUCUCCAUGUAUUUCAAGCCUACUAAGGGUACAACCCAUCCUAUCAGAGUAGGUUUAUUUGGAGGAGGAGGACAAGGAUCCCUGCUCACACUGCCUCCCAUGGCAUGAGAAAUGAGAAUAUUCUCGACAUCCCAGUAGCAAUAGGAGUAGAUAUGAUCCACUGUAAAAUCCUGUGAGCUUCAUUAUCAGUUUCAGAUGAGGGUUCUGUUUGUAAUUAGCAGAAACCAAACCAAUGAAGUAGUAUUUGGUUUUCUUUUGUGUGUUUUGCUCUCCAACAGUUGCUGAACACUUCAUUUUAGUCCACCAAUUCCUCAGCUAGUGACACAGCCCAGUCAGGGUCACAGGCCCAAAAUGUAUUCCACCUCUAUGCUCACCUGUCUCUUAAGCAGGGAAAUUAAAAUUCAUUGUCAAAAUAAGCAGAGAUUUUGCAGAUUGAAACAAGAGAGGAAUAGCACUUCUCUCUCUUGUGUCUUCUACAGUGUAACACAGCAGAGAAAGUAAAGCCCAGGGAAAAACAAAUUAGAGUGACCCCAAUGUCCUGAAGACAAUAUUUUCAAGCUUCAUCAUUGAAAUAAAGAUUUGAGAAAUCACCAAUCAACAGCUCAAAUCCACCAGAAGCAGAACGUCAAGUUUGGGCCCACAUGCAGAUUCUCACAUGAGGCUUUCACAUGGUAAACAGCCAAUGUUUGAAAAGGCACACAGCAGAAAUUGUUGGAAGAAACAUUAGCUGGGAGGGCAGGCCCAUUGCCUUAGCUCUCCAAGGCAGACUGAAACAAUAGCAAGUGACACAGAUGAAUUUUCACCUUGUCUACCGGUACUGCCACAGAAAGGAUGUAAUGCAAUCUCCUGAGAAGUCCAUUGUCCUCAUGGCACUGUGUGAAAUCUGUGACAAUGUCAGAACUUGGUCAUAGCUCCACGUUCUCUGCCAGAAACAUAAGCAUGCUUCGAGUGCAUUAUUCUUUUAGAGGGGGGCCUCGAAAAGUUCAGCUGUAGGAUUUUCUCAUCAGCUUAAUUUUUCCAUGUUCUGUUUCGUUUCUGGUAUUUUCCCACUUAUGUUAUUUGCUUGCUGAAGCUGCUCCAUUCAUGGAGUUCAGUAAAUGGUGUUUGCCAUCAGAACAAUUUGAUUCUAGUUCUAAUUAUAACAACAAGCUGCUUUCUUCAAACAUAAUAUGGGUGUUUCAUUAUUUUAAAUUGUUAUCUUCCAUAUUAAUUACAGAAACAGUUGAUCUUUUCUGAGAAACCAGCAGCUGCAAAUUCCCCCCUUUUUAAAUGUCUCAUUUUAAUAGGUGAAACAUCAGGUAAAAAUUAAAUCAGAUUGUAUCAUAAUUCUCCAGAAGAAGAUAUGUAAGUUACAACACAUUGCCUCCAUAUUCCAUAGGGUUACACUAUUCAGGUGUAUUCAACCAUGUAGCUUAGUAUAGAUCACACAGCUCAGUUGCAGACACAGUGCCCCUAAAUAAAUCACACAGCAAUGGCAACAUUACUAAUGAGACUAUCAGAAUCAAAGGAAGCAGGGUGAUGCAUCUGAGUAGAGCCUACAUCAUUAUUCUGCAUGAUUUGUUUAUGGUAUUGUUGGUGAGUCGUGUUUCUCCCCCCUCCUUUCCUAGUCCAUCUGGAUUAAAAAUGGGAACUAGAAGAACUGAAGUCCUGGAAUAGCCUGUACACAACAGUCCUGCAGUCAUAAGGAGGGGUGGUCUGGUGCUUCUUGCAAGGCAUCUGAUUACACAAACUCACUUAUCAUCUGUACUCUGCAGCAGUUCAAGAACUGAACUUCUGACAGUUUUCUUCUGUCACGUAUUUGUAGCUACUGAUCUCCAUGAUCCCUGAAAGAAGUAUAACUCAGUUACUGAGCCUGCUGACACUCAUGUCAUACUUUUUUCCAUCCUCACUCAAAGCAGUGAUCGAAAUUUAUUCCUAUUUUGUGAAGUACAGAGUAACGAAUUUCCAAUACUAGUGGCUUUUUCUCCACAAUAGAACUCCACAUUUCUGAAAGGGAAAGUUAAUGUUGGAGAUGAGAAUAUGCUACCAGCAAAGCUAAGUUAUUUAGCAUUUCUACAGUAUUUAAAAUUUCUUCAGAUAAAAUAUGAGAAUUAUAUUUAAAAAAAAAAAGAAGAAGAAGAAGAAGAAGAAAAAGACAAACAAACACAGAACAGUUUUCUAAAGAUGAUAUGUAAGCUGCACAACACUGAGAUUCUCCUUGGACAUAAAUUGCUGACAACAUGUCAAAUCUUUUCCACAACUGGGAUACAUUUACAUUGUUUUAAACAUGGAGUUACUUCUUUGCUGUUUAGGAUUUGGCCAAAUUUAAACAUGCUUGGAAGACAGAGACUUAACUUCUCAAAUAAUUUAUUGAUUGCCGAUAGAAACAUUUUUUCUUAAAUUGUGCAAAUAAGAGCUAGAUAACAUUGAGAAUAGGAGCUUUCAAAACCUCUGCACUGAUCACAUCUGACAAACAAGAUAGGAAAAAAAUAUUAAAAAAAAAAAAAGAAAAAGAAAAGAGUUUAAAAGAAGAGUGAUAACAACACAACAAAACAGCAAAACAAAACAACACAGAAAAAACAACUCAAAACACAACCCAAACCUAGAGCUUAACCAAAUAAUUCAAUGUUCUUCCCCAAAACCAAUGGAGAGAGGAAUAUAAAUCAUGAAUUUAUAAUAAAAAAAAAAUGAUUUUUUUUUCCUAAAUCAAUGGUACUCCUAAACACGCUUCAAACAAUAAAGUAAGACUUUGCAGUGAUGAGUAGUUCAAAACAAUUCUUCAACCAGAUGGUUACAACUGUGGUUUUCUGUACUCCCCUUUCAUUUUCCCUUUCUUACAUGUCCCUCCCACUUUGCAUCAUACCAAUUAAUAUCUUUCCUUCCCUAACAGCCCUCUAGAUAAUUCACAGAGGCAUUUUUCUGUGUGGCCUAGCAUUAAACAGAAACUAUUAAACAGUCAACUCCUAUUUCUUCUAUAGAAUUAAUGUCAUGUUAACUCACAGAAUGCCUUGCUGUUUAAUCACACAUGAAUGAGGUAUUUUAAAGAAGUUGUAAGGUAUUUCAGCCACACCCUAAGAACAUUCCGCUGAUUUAAACCAGGAUGCACUAAACCUGUUUUAGAUACAGUAUAGGAACACUACUUUUAAUUGCUAAUUUUUGCCUUACAAAUCUAAGUAGAAAUAACAAGGAAAAUAUAAUGCUCUUUAAAACAGAAAAAUUGAGUUGAAGUUUUGUGCAAUUUGAUGCCUUGCUGGCAUUUUAGGACUUACUAUUAAAACUCACAUGAAAGUAACCUGAAGGAAAGUUCUCUGGAAGGACAAAGGAAUCAAAUUGUGUCUUUGAUGCUUAUAGACAUAUUCUGGAGUGAUUUUAUAUUGAAUCCCACUUCCAUGAGAACUAUGUGGUUUUAUUCAUGGAGGUGUAAGCACCUGAGCACUCAUCUCUAUGAGUAACAAUAUUCAGAGUUCCAUUGUAUUCUAUUAUAUUAUGACUAGCAGCCUCCAAAUCUGCACUGAAGUAGUUUGAUGCAUUAUCAGCAUUUUGAUCCAACCAUAGCUCAUUAUCUGUGGUCUUACUACUGAUGUGUCUCCAGUCAUGACUCAGAACGGCAGUGCUGGGGCCCAUGUGACCAGAUCCCCUUUCAUCUCCGGGGCUCCAUUUUCUUUAUAAAACAAAGAGGUGCCAUCACAAAUGUACUUUUUGGCAUUUCCCUGUCAGCCAGAAUCAACCUGCUAACUGAUAGGUGUGCUGUGUCUCCUAGAGGGUCUAGAUGUGCAUAUGUGGUUGCAUCCAUGCUCAGAAACAAGGUGCUUAAUCAUGGCAAAGUACAGGGACAUUAAAACCCAUCCAGUUCCAACCCCCUGCCAUGGUCUGGCUGCCCCCCAACAGACUGGGGCCCAGGGCCCCAUCCCACCCAGCCUUGAACGCUUCUAGAGGUGAGGUACCUACAGCUUCUCUGGCAGCCUGUCCCAGCACCUCACCAUUCUCUGAGUAAAGAAUUUUUUGGUAACAUCUAACCUAAAUUUCCACUAUUUUAGUUUAAAGCCAUUCCCCCUUCUUCUAUCACUCUUAUACAGUGUUUCAGUGCUAAACAUAUUAAUUACAUAUCCCCAGAAAUUUUUGAACUGCAGCAGUCAGGCUGGAAGGGAACAGUCACAGCAGCAGCACUUUUAGUCCCAUGGAGGAAAGAUUCCAGAUCUCAAAUGCCAGAAUUCAUGUGUGCAGAGAGCACCAAGAAGUGCUGCAGAGAGCACCAAGAGCCAACAGGAACGAUGGUGCCUUUUAAUCUUGGUAAUAAAUGAGCAAAUGCAGCAAAGUAGAAUUUAUCUGUUAGCACUGACAGUUGUUAAAGACCAUGUAACUGUCUGUAAUGUAUAUAGAAUUAUUGACAUCAGAUGUGUUUAUAUUUAGGUUAAACAACUAUAUUGUUUUUAUAAGAGAAAACUGUUUCUGAAAACAAUAGGCCAAAUUGCUUUUUCUUGCUAAGAACAAUGAUGCAAUUCUGCCAGUACCAACAAUUUUUAUUACAGAAUCAGCUAACUGAAAACACAAGGCUCUUUAACAACAUGUAUCUUACAAAGCACUCCAGUGCAUGCUGAUGCUGUUUUGCUUUGUUUGCCAGUCAAGAUGGGUAAAAGCAAUUUGUAUUUUGCAUUUUGCUUGUUAUUUCACUUUUCCUUUGUGUGGUUCCUCUUGCUUUCCUUUCUUUUCAUGCAGGCAAGCUCCAUUUCUUCUAAAUUUUUCACUAUCAAAACUACUUCGAUGAAAUCAGAGUCAGCUGAAGAGAAAAAGGCAAAUCCUUCCGGGAUGAGGAAGAAACAGAAGGAAAAGAGAAGAGAAUUGAGAUGGAAAAUACAUUCUUGUCUCCAGAAAUAAGCAAGGCUCCCCAGAAUUUGGAGAUUAUGCAGUCACAGUUACCACAGCAAACGUAUUCUGAGCCGUGUCUUGGACCAUCCCAUUAAAGAUUUUCAAAUACACAACUAUAGGACUGCUUGCAAGAGGGCUGCAUAUUUGAAAUUUGUUUAAAUGCUAGUGUUAUGGAAAGCAUAAUCGGUACAGAUAUACCAAAACUGAGUCUGUAAAACAGAAAAUAAACCUUGCCAUUUGCCAUUUAGAGGCAGUUUAAAACAAGGUCUUUGACUUUGGACUGUACCUGGCAGGUUAGAGAUUCACUAGAUGUGCAGAAGAUGCAGCAAACUGAGAUCAUAGACUAAUGAUUUAGAUUUAAGAUUUAAACUAUAUCUCAUUGUCAUUGAGAUAACAUAAUAACUGAAUUAAAAAAAAAAAAAAACUGGCUUUUGUCAGUGCAAAAAUUAAGCUCUUGUGCUUGCCUCAGUAAUGAAAUAUACAACAUCUCUUGUUGUCCUUACCUUUGAACUGCAGAUAACUGUACAGCAAUGUUACAGGACAGAGAUACACUUGUGAAAUAUUCACGAGCUGAUGUCUUUGCAGCCCCACGGGACCAGUGAAGAGCUCUUUUUUCCCCCACAUCUCUCUCUCAGACUUUAAAUAAUGAGGAGCAGAAAAGGUAUGAGACAACAUGUCUGUGUGUCUCCUUUGAAAUCUUUUCUUACAUUACCUUGUUAUCUGUGCUCAAGAGCAGCAGGUAUUCCAGCAGUUCAGAGUGUAUCCACAGCAAAAACACCCAGCAAAAUAGACUACCAGUCGACACAGCUUUCAGUUCCUGGUCCAGUCGGCAAAACACAAAACUAAUACAUAGGGGAGUGCCAGCCUGGCUGAGGCUAGAGGGGAGUGAAGGCAGAAUUUUUGCCAACCAGUGAUUUAGGAAAAUAUAUAUUAUUCAUCCUGGAAAACAACCUAAUGCACUGUUUCCUACUCUGUGCUCUGAAAGUGCCUUCAUAUGGAAAGCUAUUAAACUUCUAUAUGUUUUUAGCAUUACAGCGUGGAUCAAAGCCUGACCACCCCAGGCAGAUGAGAGUGUCAGAUCCCUCCACCAGUCAGGAGGAUUUGGAUCAGUGUUUUCACUUUAGCCGUCAGUGGUGAAGAAAUCCAUCCAGACCUGAAUUUGGAGUUUUUCCUAUGCUACAGUACUGUGCAUUGGGAAAGACCAUCCUGAACUUACUAUGGGUGGAAUUCCACUUGUUUCUACCACUCUAAGUCAGGCUGGAGCAUGGACAAGAAUUAAAUCAGACCAGACUUAUCAGGGGAAUUCACCUUGUCAUCAAGGCAAACGUAACACUUUUUUUUUUUUUUUUUUUUUUUGAGGAGGCAUCACAUUUUAAAUUUCAAGUGCUGUAAGUCUUCUAACCCCCUUUUUUUAUUCCUUCUGUGAUACAAAAAUGCUUAUAUAACAGGUAUUUUCCCACACCAGCCUUAAAAGCCCUUAUUUCCUUUCUUUUUUUAUUUCAACAGACUAAUAGUCAUUGCAACACAGGUGACAGUAAAUCAAAUCAAGUUGAAAUGUCGGCCUGACUCAUUCUCAGACGAUAUAUGAUUUGUUUGCAUUGCAUUAUCUUGGAAACCCAUAGCCAGUGUGCACUAACUACAUGUCUGCACAUGGCAAGAAGAUAAACACCCUUAGCCAGUAAUAUAAAAUCUAAAUAAAAUUACAAUCAGGUUUGUAUACUAGGAUAGCUUUGUAACACCCAUGGGGCAUUACUCUUAUCAUUAGAAUUAUUUGCAUUAGAGCAGUGUCCAAAGAUCCUGCCUAUGAUCAGGUUCAAAUUGUGCUAGGCUCUGGAAAACAUGGGAAGAGACAAAAAUUCUGAAUGUUAAAUAGAUAAUUACAUGCAAAGGGUGUGAGAAAGAAAGGAUGGCUAUCAUUAUUUUGUAGAGAACUUAGGUGUGGAGAUUACAUUUUUGCUACAUUCUAAGCAUAGGUGCAAAGCAAUGCUGAAGUACAAGUCUGAUUUGCAUGUUCUUUGCACACCAUAACAUGUGUAGGUUACCACGGCUUUGUGGAAAUACUGAUAACAGUGGGAGAGAAAGCUUGAGUCUUCCAUCUCCAGCCACACACAUGGGCAGCUGGAAACGGGUGGCUAGGCUUUUCGCCUGAGGCAACAGCCACGCAUCCUGUCAUGCUGUCCUCUGACACUAUUUGAGUGCUGAUCAGACACGCCUGCCCAAGUUGUUCCCAUAAAGGCUUAGAGCCCUGCAACACAGGAUAGAUGGGCAGGAGAGUUACAGGAACGCCAAGCCCAGAGUCAGAUACCUGAAUGGAUGCCCAGACAACAUGAGUGGGUUUUUUGUUUAUUUUUUCUUUUUCCUCUCUUGGGCAGACCACAUGUUUUCUGUAAAGUCAUAAAAAAAUCUAAGUGGUGCUAAGAACCAGUCACCUCACUCCAGUUUGGCAUUUGCAAAUUCACCAUUCCUCUCUAAGGUAACAGCUGCUGGAACUACACCAGCAACUUCUUCAAAAAACAGGACAAGUGGUCUUUCAGUGGUGAAAGAUCUGCUGAACUCAAAGGAAGCUGCAUCUGGAGUAACAUUUCAAUGUAUACGCUGUGCAUGCUUACAAGUUUUAUGAUUACAGAAACAGCCAGCACAAUGCUGGGCUGACGAAAGAGGGGGUGGAUGUUUAGAUGCUGCUGUUUCACUUCAUGUUGGCAGGGAUAUGGAAAUUAUGAAGUGAUAAGGAGAGAUGUAAGAGGGAGGAGAAGGCAUGAGUGAUUGAUUAUGUGCUUAAUUAAGCAAUGUUGGCCACAUCAAGUUGUAGUGAAGUCUCUGUACAUCUGUAGCAUGCUUUUAGUCCCAGGCAAUAAAUUGGCUACCUGCCUCUGAAUGGACAGUGAGGGGAAAAUACUUUUGAAGGUAGAAAUGUUGGCUAUCCAGAAGCGAUGGAUGGUUACUUACUAUUUUUUUUUGUCUUUGAAGACUGUAUAUUAUCAGUUAACAUAAUGAACUCACCAAGUGGUCCAGUAACCCACGGAAGUAAUUCUACUUAGAUCACUGAAAUAAAAGGCAGGAGCAAGGCUUUCAGACUUAGGCCUCAAACAAAAACUAACAUUCAAGGAUAGCAAGCUUUUCCUCCUGUUUAAGCUCCUUUAAUAAAAAUGCAAAUAUUGCUUUCUUAACCACAAUAGGAACUCUAGUCAUUAUUUUUCAAUACUAAUGUUAGUGUUUUCCUAUAACUUCUGUUGUGCUGUAAUUCUAGAGGCCCAUGUCUAAUCCCAUAUGUAAUGUGUUUAUUAGAUGUAAUAUUUUAUCUCUUGGAUACAGUUUCUGACACUAUCAUUUUGUUCUUAUUUCAAUAAAACUGAUUUCCUUCCUUCUCACCCUGACAGGAUGCAUUGAAUUUCUUUAUCACAGAAGAAAGUUAGAAAGGUUCUCCCAUAAAAGACAAAAAUGGACUGCAUGUAGUGUGGCUUAAUUUAAUUUAUCUCAUAAAGUCCAGACCAAAUAAAGUAACUUUAUAAUAUUAGAUACGGCCAGAAUUGAGCUGGGAUUCUUUUGUUGUUGUUGUUUGUUUUUAAUAUAUGGUUAUCUAGUCUCAGUAAAUCUGUAGCUCAUUGGCUUCACCACCUGUAUCCUUCUGAACACAGAAUGAAACAGUACCAAAUGCUCAUGCAAUUUCUGAUUUUCUUUGGGAAUUCACUAUCUGUGUGCUUUAAUCAAGUGAUAAUAUGUAGGAACCAUUCCAGCUUUCAGCUGACAAAAGCACAAUAUUAGUUGUUUGAUGAGAACUCCUCUAUGGAUACAAAUUCCACAUGGAUUUUCCCAGGCUUUGUAAAUUUAUUAAAAAAUAAUAUAUUCUAUACACAAUUAGAACAUGAAUGUUAAAAGAGUAAGUAAAGUAAUUUGUUGGGAAUGUGAAAUCAUCUAGAAAAGAAAGAUGUUUUCGUAUAAUUUUAGCUGUCACAUAAUAAUUUGCAAAACACAGAAGGCAUUUGAAACCUUUGGUAUCCAGAUCCAGAUUCCCAGUAGAAAAGUAUUCCUUUCAGGCUACCUUCUGGAAUAAAGGUCUUCUUUAUCUCCUUUAUCAUAUUGGUAGUGUUUCACUAAACAGACAGUCAGAAGCUGCUGUUGAAUAGGGAAGCUGGAAAACGCUCAUCUUAUUUCAUAUUCAUUUUCCACACCUUGUCAACAACUGCACAGCUCACCACUGAAGCUGCAUUUCAUGCAAUGCAUCCAAAGGUUACAACUUAUAGGUCAGAGAUGGGAAUUUUCACUUCGCAAUCACUGGGCAGCUGAGACUCCAUACAUUACUGUGGUGACAGGUAUAGUACGCAGUGAUGAACCUUCUGUCAGUCAGACAGAGGUCACAUUGGUAUCAGUUACUAACAUACCCCUCUCCUAGCUUAAAAAAAAAAAAAAAAAAAAAAAAAAAAGGAAAAUUAAAAAAAGUCUAUUUUUUUUCUUCUUGUGGAAAAUGGAAACAGAGUUGAUGUUCACUAAUGUCAAGUGGCAGGAGAUUUAGAGCCCCAGAGCUCAGGAGGUCUCCUGUAGCUGUGCUGGCAGUACUUUCAGCACCAACAUAAAUCGCCGCCUGAACUGAAACCCACAAAAGCUGUUCCAGAAGAAACUACAACAGCCACGUAAACAUGUACUGGACAGGAAACAAUGAACUCCAACCUGGUACUGGAGAAUCCAAAAUAAGAGCAUGUCAACUUCCUGGUCAUAGCUAUUUUAUUUUUUUUCGUAUUUAGCAUCACUUACACAAAAACAGUUAAAAAUUAUUACCUUAGCAGACAGUCAGAUUUUUAGUUUUUGUAAUGAGGUGGCUGAAUCUCACAUUAAAGAGGAAGCUGUAACACAAAUAAGAGGAAGUGAAUAAGUACUUAAGAUGUACCUUCAACUCCGUAAUUUUAACGCUUUCAUGAAGAGAUCAGAAUACAAAAUCUAUCAUCAUUAAUUAUAUCCUGUUAUACCAUCCUUGUGUUCUUUGCCAAAUAAAUGCCAUAACACAUCAGAUAACAACAGAAUAUUUACAUUACAAAGGUUAAAGGAUCAUGCUAUCUGUAGCUAGGUCAAAGUAUUUUGGUCAACUGCAAUAAAAUUUUGUCUGAAGGUCCCCAGAGGUUAAUGCGAUCACUGAACUUCACAGUCAGUUUAUGAAUAAGACCUUAAAAGAAUAUUCCUAAGUUCCUGCAUUUUCCUACUUGUGGUACUUGAACAUCCACAAGCAAAUACUGGCCUUCCUAAACAAGACAGUUGGAUGACACAUUUUUUUUGUGUCAAAAAGGAAGCCCUUCUUCCCCUCAAAAAAAAAGAAAAAAAAAAAAAACCUAGCAUAAAGCAGACUCUAUACACAUGGAAUAAAUUGAUUUUACCAAGGCUAAAUUUGUCUAGUGGAGCCUAUACUUGAGAUCAUUCAAGCGCUCUCUUGAGUUAUCUCAUUGUAGCAGAGUUUGCAGGACAGGGCCUUGAAUUUGUUUCUGCCAUACAAAGUUGAUAUAUAAGAAGACAGGAUUUAAUUGAAACAUCUUGAAAGAG
rnacentral:lncRNA from 1 species